CAGCGUCUAUGAUCUCAGAGACAUCGUCCACGAUCACAAAGACAUUGUCCAUGAUCGCAGAGACUUUGUCCAUAAUCUCAGAGACACUGUCCGCGAUCACAGAGACGUAGUCCACGAUCACAGAGGGACAUCGUAAGAUGAAGUUCUUUGAGACCAGGACAGAGGCCUCCAGGUGUCACCACUUCGUCCACAACAUCAUCCAUGAUCGGAGAGACAUUGUUGAGGAUGAGGGAGACAUCGUCCACGAUCAGAGACAUUGUCCAUGACUCGUGGUGACUCGGUCCCCGAUUAGUCGGCACUGCCGGCGUUCAGAGACAUUGUCGAUGAUCGCAGAGACUUUGUCCAUAAUCUCAGAGACAUUGUCCGCGAUCACAGAGACGUAGUCCACAAUCGCAGAGACAUCCACGAUCACAGAGACAUGGUCCAUGAUCGGAGAGACAUUGUUGAGGAUGAGGGAGACAUCGUCCACGAUCAGAGACGUUGUCCAUUGCAGAGACCUUGUCAAAGAUGAGAGAGGCGUUGUCCAUGAUCAGAGACAUUGUCCCAUGCUUCGCAGAGCUCUGCGCAAGAAUCGGUAGUGACACUGUGGUUCCUCGAUUCGACGGCAUGACCGCGAUCAUGGAGACAUUUGUUGACGAUUACAGAGACAGCGUCUAUGAUCUCAGAGACAUCGUCCACGAUCACAAAGACAUUGUCCAUGAUCACAGAGACUUUGUCCAUAAUCUCAGAGACACUGUCCGCGAUCACAGAGACGUAGUCCACGAUCACAGAGAGACAUCGUAAGAUGAAGUUCUUUGAGACCAGGACAGAGGCCUCCAGGUGUCACCACUUCGUCCACAACAUCAUCCAUGAUCGGAGAGACAUUGUUGAGGAUGAGGGAGACAUCGUCC